GAUGAUUUUUGUUGUUGUUGAAUUUUAUAUCAAAAAUUAUAAAGCCUUUUCACUUUCUAGACAAUUUAUUUCUACUCUAUUAAUUCCAAGUAUCCUUUCUUUUACACUUACACUCUUUAUGACCUUCACCUAUGUGCACUUUGUUAUCACCUUACGGUGUCAGGUCAAUCAAACCUGAUGACAAAAAGCUGAGAUCAACCUUUAAUCGGCUCUAGACGCGUCUUGUGUAUCUACAUCUCUACAUUUACCUGCUUAUGCACGGAUCUUCAGUGUAUUUACGGUUCUAUCUCCGUGUUUAUUUAUGUGUACAUUUAUUAUGUGGAUCUGUAUAUUUGUAAAGAGCAGCAAAUUGUUACAUCCCUUGGAUCAAGUAAACCUUACAAAUAUUAAAUAUCACCAAUCUUUUUUUUUACUUAACAAAAAAGGAUCCUCUAAAAGAUCUCAAGUUAAGUUAACAUUUAAUCCUCAUCGAUCACUUUUAUCAUAACCAUUUGGAGUUUUUCAAGAUGAAAUAAACUAAAUCAUCGAAAAUAUCACAAGCAUCAAAAAAGGACCAAAUAUGAUGAUGAUGAUGAUGAGGAUGAAGAAGAAAAAAAUAAAUAACAAAAUAUAACUAAAAAGGAUGCUUUUCCCUACUAAAAAUCUCAACUUUUACUUAAUAAUCAGAGCAACAACACAAACAACAACUAGACUUUCUCGAAAACUUUUUCAUCAUUAUCUUCAUCUUUUCUCAUUCUUUCCCUUUCUUUUAUCCACCCUUAUCUUCACCCACCCACCAUGUUUCUUGAAAGAAAUCACUUAUACUCUACUUCAUCCAUCACAAGCUUAAUUUUCCGUGCAAUUCCGAUUGAUUUUCAAAUAACCAAUGUUUCUGUUUCAGGGUAUAAUACUUUUGCUUCUUCAACCAUCUAACUCAUUUUUAUAAACUUAUUAUCAACAGACUAAUCACCAUCAUAAUUAUCAAUAAUCAUUUGAUCAACUUUGGUAACUAUAAGGAGGCUGGAAAAGAUAAUUACUCGGAAUUUGCACCUCAACUUGGAAAUCUUGUCCAACUGAAUGGAAAUUAACCCGAUAUAAAUCGAUACAACCCAAUACAACCCAUUAUUCAAGCUUCUCUGUCUUCUGGCUUAUGUACAAUGGUUUUAUAAAUGAUCAAGAUUGGAGUUUUUUUGGAAUAUCAUGAACCAGUUGAAUCAACGAAUGAUUGUUACAUGGAUUGGUUUUGAUUCUUGUUUGAGUUAAACUUGAAUACAGAAGACGGAAAAAAACUGAAGCUGAAAAAUUGUCAAGGGAUGUACAUUACGAUGAAUUGGUCCUGAUUUGACUUGAAAUUUGCUUCAAGGAAAACUUUGACUUUUCAUAUGAUCGAUUGAAGAUCAAUUGUAAAUGUCAUUUGAUCUCUUCUGAUUUAAAUCUGUCUUAGCAUCAUCAUCAUCAUCAUCAUCUACUUCUCUCUUCCUUUUCAAGUCUUAUUCAAGUCUUAAUCAAUUCAACAUGUCUUUGGUAUUACAUUCAAAUGAUUUUACCAAUUGGUUAAUGUAUUCGUCAACACUUAAUCAAUGAGAAUCUUGUUGAAAGGCGAAAAUGUGGUAAAUCUACAGAAUUUUUUGCUGUUGGUUUACUUUGAAUCAUUUGCAGACCUUUGGACAGCUGACGAGGCUAAUGGCUUAAACAGUUUAACUGAUUAACAUCAAACGAGUUGACAAUUUGAAGGCAAUUUAAAGGCUAAUUAGCAGACAGGAAAUUAUUAAUCAUUUGCAAAUAAUUUAAGAAUUAGCUUUCAUUUUUGUAUUUGGCUAUUGCAAUAUUUAACAUGGAGCAUCAAACAGUUAUCAAAAACAGCUUUCAAGAUCAAGCCAAUGAACCAGAUUAAGACGGAACCCACUCAAGUUAAACCUGAUUUCACUUAAAUCACAGAUUAAGGCUGGAUCCAAAUUUUGUCAAAUCAAAUGUGUUAACUUGUAAACAAAAGGUGAACAAAAAGUUGAAAUUAACUUGAUUCGAGCUAAUGGUUUAUUUACACAAAUGUUGGAUGCAAAAAAAACCAAAUGAAGAAUGGAAAUGAUGAGGAUUCAGAGAGAGAUAAAAGGAACUUCUACUGAAUCUUGCUCAUCUUCAAUCAAUCCCAAGAAUUGAAUGAGAAGACGUUGUUUCUAAUCAGUCACAAUUAGAUGGUGUUUAUGAGUAAAGUACAGAAAAAAAUCAAACUAACUCAAUCACUAAUCAUAUAAUCAGCGUCUCAUAUAUAAAAAAACGUUGUUACCUUUGAAACAAAUGAAAAAAAUAAACUCAGUAAUGACUUUAAUCAGGUAAAAGUGCAAAUCAGGUCACACUUUUGAUUGAGAAGUUAAUUGAAAAUUUAAUUUGAAAUAAACAACAGCAAAUGACUCAAGUCAA